rnacentral:ncRNA from 1 species
GCCGCCUGCGGAGAUGGCAUGCCUCCCUGCGGUCGAGUCCGGCGCGUCGCGCGCGCGGUCUUCGGCCCUCAACCGCCGGUUCGCCCGGCUGAUGAUGCCUGCGUGUUC